GCCAAACUACUAGACUGAAAUUAGAUUCAAGUAAACAAAAUGUUCUGUGAGCAGAAUAUUGACUACACCCAUUACUGCUAAAUUCUACAAGCCAAAAGAAAAUACACAUCCAAAGCUUUAUUUUCGGGGGAGAGGAAAGAAGACUAGAGGGAAUUAGUAGUUAAUUUAUCUAUACCAUAUACCCAUUCUAUUUACUACCUACUUAUACAAAUCCAUUUCUUUCCCUUCUCUUAUUGCUCCCUGUUCUUCCUCAUCACUAGCUCUGACUAGAAGUUGAUUCUGUGCUUCAACUAUGAGCGUGAUCCCUCAAGGUUCAGUUUUGCUGUGAGCCAAUUGCGAACCUCAUCCAUUUCUUUAGGAACUGUGUAAUGCCCAAGCCUGUGAAGUGAUGCAAGAAAUUUUGCUUUAAUGUUCCACUCGGUGGUCAUUAGUUAAAUGCUUGUUAAUGAGGAAGCUGAAUAUUUACCCAUCAUAUGGUUUAAAUGUGAGAUGUCGAAAGCCAGCUGAAUUUAAGGCGUGGGCAGAUUUCUCUCCAUAGUUAUAGGGGGCUACAUCAUCAUCUGCAUCAGGUUAAUAAGAGGGUCAUAUUGUGUAAAAGAUUGAACUACAAUGGAAGGCAGCAUAUCCUAUGGAAUAUGGUGCAGCUUCAUUGAAAUGUCAAAUACCAUGAAUUGCCCUUAACAGAAUUAAUGAAACUAACUGCUUCACCAGGGUGAAAGGGCAAGGUUAAUUUCUACACAUUUCCAUGCUAUGAUAGGGUUAUAGGCAAAGUAAAUGUUGGGGCAGAAUCUACAUAGCUCAUCCCAGUGAACAGUUUAGUGAUGAUCAGGUUCUUAAUAAUAAUGGCGGUGAGAUCUUCUAUUUUCCUGUAUGUUGUAAUACUGUUCUCGUAAUGUUCCGCAUUGGCAUGAGGACUGUGCACAGUGUCCGGAUUACCAGAGGAUUCAAUAGACUCAAGCCGUUAAGAAUUACUUGGAACAAAAUUCACAAACAUUUUAAAGAUGACAUUGGAUAAAGAUACAUACUUGUUCCAUGACAAAGCAAAAUGGGCAAGGAUGCUGCACGCCUUGCAGCCUCAUGGGAUCCUUCUAUUUUGUUCUUUAAGCCCCUUGAACCUGGAAGCCAUCCACUCAGUCCAACAACUGCUCUGAGAUUGAUAGGGUACAGAUUGCCAUUUCCAUAUCGUCCCAGUGCAGCACAAGUUGCAGAGUAGAGCGCUGUUGCGGCACCCAUACUGAAGCCUCCAAUACCAACUUUAACAUCAGCAGGCUCUGUUGACAGUAAAUUUGCAAUAUGUGCUGCUGAGGCAUCUAAACCUUCACAGUCAUCUGGACUAUUUUCUGAAAUCUCACCCACAUCAAACCAUGCAGUGCAAGGAAAUCCACCCAGAAGUGCAACAGGACGUGUAGGAGCAGUUGGACAAAUCCAUUUAAUAUUUGGAAGAGGAAGGCUUUCCAGGAGCUGGGACCAGCUUGAACCAUUGUCACCAAGACCAUGUAACCAGACUAUAGUGGCUUGAUGUUUCCCUUUAGGCCUCACCACGUAAGUCCUCCCAAACUCAAAAGUUCUUCUGGCAGUUCUACUACCUAGAAAUUGAAGCAAUAGAUUUACUUAUUAAAUAACAUGAAGUUCAAAGGAUUAAAACAAUAAUAGGCAUAAAUCUUGUGUAUCAACCAGGAAAAAUGAAUAUUCAGUUGAAGAAGAUAAGGAAUAAAACCCAAUUCAUUGAGUUGGGUGGUUAUAUUAAAAUACAGGAAACAAUGAAUUAAGAUCCAUGAAAAUAAUGUAUAUAACUAAUAGGAUUCGAUACCUUAUUCAAGUUGAAAAGAGCAAAAACCACAAAAAGGAUGAAAAGAAACAAACCAGAACCCAUAGAAGGAUGUUGUUGGUAGCUCAUUUUGGUGAUGCAACUGAACGCCUCACCUAUGGUCAGUGAAUGACUGAAGAGGAGCUGCUGCAAUGAAGAAAACCCAGAAAGAUGAUGGCUAUUUAUAGUGUGGAAAAGGAAUAAAACAGGUGAAUAUGCAUAUCUUUCCCUAGUAAUUUAGGUGUAGUGUGUACACCAGCUAUAUAUUAAAGCCUGAAACCACGUAGAAACUGAGAAAGGGGGAGGCAUCCAUUAAAAGGAGAGGGUAAAAAAGACAAGGACAAAAAAAGCAGGAAAUCUUUUCAAGACCAGAGAGAAUCCAAGCAGAGAAGAGCACAAUCAUCCGUUCCACAGCCACCCAGCUAGGAGAGAGGGGAGGCUGUGAGAUUUGCAACAUAGAGAGAAUCUAUGCUCAUGGGCAGUAGCCAAAAAAAAUAAAAAAAUAAAGCAAUCCCAACUAUCAACAACAAAAACAACAAUCAACGACAGCUCUCAAGAAUAUUUCUGAAAACUAGAAAGAAUAAGUAAAAGAAAAAAUCUUUUCUCAAUCAUUUGUUUAUGAAUUUGUCAUGAUUGACAGGUACCCAUUAACCACAAAGCUACAGUAUGUUUCAAGCCUCCAAUUUAUCACUCACAAAAAAUAAAAAAAUCUGAUGUAAUGGUGUAUUCCUGGACCGGAGGAAAUCAUGAGAAUUAGGGUUUUAGGGUGUGUGUGUGUUAUUUAUUUAUUUUCUCAAAGAUUGAAAGUUCUUUGAAAGCCCUAUUUGAAAUUUAGUAGCCAGAAACUUUCAAAAUUUUAGUGAGCUUUUUAUA
rnacentral:misc_RNA from 1 species